rnacentral:lncRNA from 1 species
CCACAUUGGUGGUCUCGGAGGUUCCAGGGAAGGUGACCCUUGGAGGGGCAAUGCUCGCCCCACAUGGAAAUUCACACUCCAGCCAAAACGCAGCUGACAGUGAGGAUGUUUUCCGCUGAGAGGAGCCAUAAUUAGACCUAAACAUUAACAGCAAAUCCAGGACCAUCCCUCACCAAGUAGGAGAAUAAGGGAGUCUAGGCUGUAAUCGGGCCUGAUUUCCCAAAGGAACAUAUAUGUUUUCUUAACCUUAUCCAACAGUAUUUUAUGAUUCUAGGCCCUUGAUUGGGGCCUAUACAGGACCAGCUACUCCCAGAAAACGAACAGAAAAGAGAACAUUUUCCGAGUGUGCUCUUUCCUCCUCUUGGCUUCUGUGUCUGUGUUAUUCCCAGGCAGAGGGUAGGAUCCAUCGGAUUUUCCAUAUUCCUAGGCCAGUUUUGAAAGCUCCUCCCCAGAUGCUGAGACCACAUUUCCCGUGCAGGAGGAGGUGGAUGGGGAGAGUUUGCAUCUGGGAGUAUAAUUCAGAUGACUUUUAUCAUCAGUACAUGUCACAAGAAAACAUUUAAAAUGACACUGAAACAAUCAUUGAAAUCAUGGUGCAUGGAGGAAAAAGCCACUUCUCGACAUGGUCUGCACAUACAGUAGAUACAUUCAUUAUUGUCCAAGGGAAGACAGUAACUGCCUUUCAUUUUAAAGAGCUUGGUGGAGAGGCUGAAGAAAUGUGCUGCAGCUGAAGGU